AGAGUUUGAUUCUGGCUCAGAUUGAACGCUGGCGGAAUGCUUUACACAUGCAAGUCGAACGGCAGCACGGGAGCUUGCUCCUGGUGGCGAGUGGCGAACGGGUGAGUAAUGCGUCGGAACGUACCGAGUAAUGGGGGAUAACGCAGCGAAAGCUGUGCUAAUACCGCAUACGCCCUGAGGGGGAAAGUGGGGGAUCGCAAGACCUCACGUUAUUCGAGCGGCCGACGUCUGAUUAGCUAGUUGGUGGGGUAAAGGCUCACCAAGGCGACGAUCAGUAGCGGGUCUGAGAGGAUGAUCCGUCACACUGGAACUGAGACACGGUCCAGACUCCUACGGGAGGCAGCAGUGGGGAAUUUUGGACAAUGGGGGCAACCCUGAUCCAGCCAUUCCGCGUGAGUGAAGAAGGCCUUCGGGUUGUAAAGCUCUUUCAGCCGGAACGAAACGGUACGCACUAAUAUUGUGUGCUAAUGACGGUACCGGCAGAAGAAGCACCGGCUAACUACGUGCCAGCAGCCGCGGUAAUACGUAGGGUGCGAGCGUUAAUCGGAAUUACUGGGCGUAAAGCGUGCGCAGGCGGAUUGUUAAGCAAGAUGUGAAAUCCCCGGGCUUAACCUGGGAAUGGCACUUUGAACUGGCAGUCUAGAGUGUGUCAGAGGGGGGUGGAAUUCCACGUGUAGCAGUGAAAUGCGUAGAUAUGUGGAGGAACACCAAUGGCGAAGGCAGCCCCCUGGGAUAACACUGACGCUCAUGUACGAAAGCGUGGGUAGCAAACAGGAUUAGAUACCCUGGUAGUCCACGCCCUAAACGAUGUCAACUGGUUGUUGGGGGAGUGAAAUCCCUUAGUAACGAAGCUAACGCGUGAAGUUGACCGCCUGGGGAGUACGGUCGCAAGAUUAAAACUCAAA
rnacentral:rRNA from 1 species